rnacentral:rRNA from 1 species
CAGUAGCCGCGGUAAUACGAAGGGUGCAAGCGUUACUCGGAAUUACUGGGCGUAAAGCGUGCGUAGGCGGUUUGUUAAGUCUGCUGUGAAAUCCCCGGGCUCAACCUGGGAAUGGCAGUGGAUACUGGCAAGCUGGAGUGUGUCAGAGGAUGGUGGAAUUCCCGGUGUAGCGGUGAAAUGCGUAGAGAUCGGGAGGAACAUCAGUGGCGAAGGCGGCCAUCUGGGGCAACACUGACGCUGAGGCACGAAAGCGUGGGGAGCAAACAGGAUUAGAUACCCGCGUAGUCCCUGUCUCUUAUAC